GGUCUCAUCGUCUAGUUGGUCAGGACAUACGGUUCUCAUCCGUAAAACAUGGGUUCGAAUCCCAUUGGGACCA
rnacentral:tRNA from 1 species